GAUGAACGCUGGCGGCGUGCCUAAUACAUGCAAGUCGAGCGAACGGACGAGAAGCUUGCUUCUCUGAUGUUAGCGGCGGACGGGUGAGUACACGUGGAUAACCUACCUAUAAGACUGGGAUAACUUCGGGAAACCGGAGCUAAUACCGGAUAAUAUUUUGAACCGCAUGGUUCAAAAGUGAAAGACGGUCUUGCUGUCACUUAUAGAUGGAUCCGCGCUGCAUUAGCUAGUUGGUAAGGUAACGGCUUACCAAGGCAACGAUGCAUAGCCGACCUGAGAGGGUGAUCGGCCACACUGGAACUGAGACACGGUCCAGACUCCUACGGGAGGCAGCAGUAGGGAAUCUUCCGCAAUGGGCGAAAGCCUGACGGAGCAACGCCGCGUGAGUGAUGAAGGUCUUCGGAUCGUAAAACUCUGUUAUUAGGGAAGAACAUCUGUGUAAGUAACUGUGCACAUCUUGACGGUACCUAAUCAGAAAGCCACGGCUAACUACGUG
rnacentral:rRNA from 1 species